UACACGUGAACUAUUUUCUUUAACAAUCUCAAUUACGGGCCAUCCUCAUACCCCGUCUGGUAUGAGCGCCAAUUAUCAAACCUCAAUACCCCGUUCGGCAUGAGGGUGAAGCGGGUCGUCCCUAUACCCCGUUCGGUAUGAGCAUCAAAUCAUCAAGUCUCCAUACCCCGUCCGAUAUGAGACAACGUUUACGGUAGGGUUCCCUAUGCACUCGGU
rnacentral:lncRNA from 1 species